AGACUGUAAGUGAGCAAAGAUGGAAUAAAGUGACUGCUAUUUUCAAUUGUCCCACUGCUACAAAUGUAUCUUUGGAGCUGCGCAACUGUUAUACUUCUCUGCUUCUUCAAUAUGAACAAGUCUACUUUCCUAAAGCUCCUGAUUUGAGUCCUGUUUCUUCUGAACCCAUCCAUCACACAUAAUCGUUCUCAAGAGACAGUACGAUCAUCCAUAGAAAUUCAAGCAGAAAGGCCAACCUCAACAGCGGGCUCUCUUGCCAAUGAAAUCAUUCAUGGUAAAUUCAACAGUGGCUAUUUUGUCACUGUCACAAUUGGCUCAGAAAAGCUACAAGGGGUACUUUAUCAGGCUACAGAGAGUGCAGCAUCCCGAGCACCACAAGAAAAUGGCACAUUUGCCAGCAAGAGUGAUCUUGUGCAACAGCGGAGGCACAGGAAGCAAUCUGCAAUAAAGAGGGAUCCUUUACAACAAUAACGAAACCGUAGCGGUUAUAACUUCUUCUUCGCAGAGCAAUGUGAUAGUCUUAAGGCAUUUCACAGAGGAAAGAGCAGAGACCUUAUGAAACUUAUAGGUGAAAUGUGGAAGAACCUGAAUGAAUCAGAAGAAGCGGUUUACAAGGAGAAAGCGCUUAAAGAUAAGGAGAUACAUGGACAUGAGUUGAAAGAUUACAAAAAAAAUUUAAGGAUAGUGCCUCCACAGUUAGGAUUGGCAAAAGCUGAAGGUGAUUUUGAAUGAUAACAGCUCAAGUUAUCAUGAACUGUUUGGAGAACAAGGCAGGGUCUGAAGUGAAUUAGAGUAACAAGAAAAGUCAGGAGAUGCUACCCUCAGAUGUGGAUGUUGUACAGUUAAGUAGAAUGCCUUCCUUAGACAUGGAUAUGAUCUGGGAUGCUCUUUUGGUCUCAGAUUCAUGACAUACUCCCUUUAUUUUCAUACAUUUGAAUGAAAAUAAAUUGAUUCAUAUUUUGCAAUCUUUUUUUUUCAUCUUGAAACUGGUAUAUUUGUAUCAGCUUUUACUAGCACAUAGUCACAUAGCUAAUCAAACUUCCUUAUGAAACAGA